rnacentral:rRNA from 1 species
UACAGAGGGGGCGAGCGUUGUUCGGAAUUACUGGGCGUAAAGCGCGCGCAGGCGGCUCGUCAAGCCUGACGUGAAAGCCCCCGGCUCAACCGGGGAGGGUCGUCGGGGACUGGCGGGCUUGAGGUCGGCAGGGGCUGGUGGAAUUCCCGGUGUAGUGGUGAAAUUCGUAGAUAUCGGGAGGAACACCAGUGGCGAAGGCGGCGACCUGGGCCAAUAUUGACGCUGAGGUGCGAAAGCGUGGGGAGCAAACAGG